rnacentral:antisense_RNA from 1 species
AUCCGCCGGAAGGAGGGCGCCGCAUUGCCGGUCUUCUCAUUGCGGGGCUGCUAGAGGCAACCUGAAGUCAGGAUUCUUUCUUUCCUGCUGUGAGAGGGACGUCCCUCCUCCGUAGCUUUUGUCUCUCUAUUGCCUGCGCCGUGUCCUGGACUGCUCACGGGAGUUCUGCAGGAGACGCCGGAAUAUCUGGAAGCUGAAAAAUGGAAAUAAAUGGAAAGACCAGAAUAUUGAAGAUCACUACAGAAAUCUAAGGAUGAAAUCAACAGCCAAUCUGGGUGCCAUUGAGACAUCUAAAGCCUUACUAUGAGCCAGAUACCCAGGAAGAGGUUUUGGGAGGAUCCCAAAGACUCCCUGGUUGCAGCCAUGUCAAGACUGAUGCUGAGGAGGACCCCAACUGUCACGAGCAACACCUGCCUGGGGACAGAUCAAGAAGCUGUCACAGAUGACGGAGAAAAACCUGAGAAAAGCGGGACAACUAGACACAAUGAGUAAUUUAAUGAUAGCUAUGACAGCGGUGAUCACCAUUGCCAUGAGUAUUCCUUCAACAAGGGCUGACACAGAGAACAAUUA